AUUGAACGCUGGCGGGAGGCCUUACACAUGCAAGUCGAGCGGAGUGGCGGACGGGUGAGUAAUGCAUAGGAACGUGCCUGGUAGCGGGGGAUAACUACCGGAAACGGGAGCUAAUACCGCAUACUAUUAGAUGAGCCUAGGUCGGAUUAGCUAGUUGGUGGGGUAAAGGCCUACCAAGGCGACGAUCCGUAACUGGUUUGAGAGGAUGAUCAGUCACACUGGAACUGAGACACGGUCCAGACUCCUACGGGAGGCAGCAGGGGGGAAUAUUGGACAAUGGGCGAAAGCCUGAUCCAGCCAUGCCGCGUGUGUGAAGAAGGUCUUCGGAUUGUAAAGCACUUUUAGUAGGGAGGCGUUACCUGCAGAAUAAGCACCGGCUAACUUCGUGCCAGCAGCCGCGGUAAUAC
rnacentral:rRNA from 1 species